ensembl:lncRNA
CCCUGCUUUAGUGAAUUGACCAAUUAACCAGCCCUAAUGGCACUGGAUAGGAGAGCAUCUACUCUACAACAUAUUUAAGUGGGAUACUGGAAAGCUGACUGGAUUUUUUUUUUUCUCGUGUCACAUCCAAAAGGUAUAGACUCAGUGAAAAUGUGAAAACAUGAGACUUGAAAGUUGGUCAGAAUUUAACACUAGAGAUGCAGAUUUGAGAGUGAGUUCUAACCUGUGACAUGACAGUCUGUUGGAUGAACUCAUAGAAAGGUAGAAAGAAAACUCUAGGACAUCAGCUCAGACAAUCAUAGUUAAAAAAAAGACUGAAGAAAGUAAAGAAAGAUCGGAAAGGACAGAAAAUGCUAUCACGAAGACGAAGGGUGAAAAAAGUGGGUAAUCAGCAUCAAAUGAGAUAAAAAGGUUAAUGAAGACUAAUCAACCCUUUGGAUUUAAUGGGACUUGCUGGAAAUAGUCAAAGGAAUAGUUUCACAUCUUAAUAUCUGUAUUGAAGGCUUUCCUCAAAUGUCUGGUGAUCGUUGGUCUUCCAUUCAUAUUUAAAGGCUUACAGGUAACCACAAAGAAAGGAAGAAGAUGGCUGAGACGUAGAUCAAACCCAGUUAAAACUGGCUGACGACAAUAAGGCAGUCAUACCUGACCUGACACAAAUCCGGCAGCUCAUUAUAUGCUUAUUGUACUAUAUAACCAUAUUAUAGGACACACCCACCGACGCCAUGACAGUUUACAACUGCCGCAGCAACAGCAGGAUGCAACCAAACAAGGAAAGAAAAGAGGUGGCCACCUUGCUCCCCAGAAAAACCUGCCCAUUUCCCAGAGUAACUAUGAGUAUUCCUCUCCUUCAACCUAGACCCCUUAUAACAGCUGCCUAAUCACCCCAGGAGCUGAGAAGUUGAUUUGUGAACUCAAGUUCCCGCUUCUCCAUUCCUUGGCCAUCGAAUAAAGACUAAAGCUUGUGCUGUUGAACGCUCAGCUUCGGUUUCGUUUCAAAUUCGCGACACCAGUUAAGAACCCACCGAGGAAGGGACGGGUUGUGCGUAGGACGCCCACCCACGGGCCCCUCCUCGGAGCCCCUCCGAGUGUGGGUGUGAUUCCCGCCCGAGUGAGGUGGAAUCGGUACCACUGACAGUCUCUCUCAUGUGUUUCGCCGUCCCGCGGGGGC